AUAUAUAUAUAUAUAUAGUACGUCAUUCACUAUGCGAUCCUUUUUUCUUUUAUAUGAAUUUGGAGUUCUACAUUCAAUUUUAGAAAUUUGAUACUAUUAAGCAAUACCCACUUCUUUAUGUGAUUCAUUUUAGUUUUUUUUUUUAUUUUUUAUAAUGUGGAUUCGAGUGCAUUAUGUAUCUUGUCUGGAAAUUUGAUGUUACUAACCAAUGCGGCCACUUCUUUGACUGAUCUGAUCCAAAACUUCUUAUUUUCUAUUAGGAAGAAAAAGUGAGGGAAGAAGUUACUUGUGGAACUGCCGCGGUUGAGGUCAUCUCCUACUUUUUUUUUUGUUUGAAGGUUAGGUAAGUUAUACUUGUAACAUACCGAAUCCCUAACGAGUUGUACCGAACUUCCGUCAAAUUGACCGAAGUGUGGUAGUGGACAAGAUGUUAGGUCAAUUAAUUAAUUCGAGUGCUUCAGAAUACAUUAAAUGAGUGUUUGGGACUUUGGAGAGCAAGCUGGAAAAUGUUAGUAUUUUGUGUUGGCAAGUUUCGUGAUUUGAGUAAGAGUCUUGAAGGGUUCGGUGCAUAAUUGUCGAAGAUCAAAGAAUCCAAGGUUUCGAGAACUCAGAAACAUCCCACUGCAUGAAUCACGAUGCUCAAGUAAGGUUUUAAAUCAUGUUGUAGUGUUCUAGAGUUUGGAUAGGAUUGGCUACAGUAUUAGUGACUGGUCGACACAUCUGGAGAGUGUCGCACUGAGUCGAAGUCGUUUCUGUACGAAAUGGAUGCAGAUAUGGACGCGGUGCACUCAAAUAAGCAAAACUGGAGUUUUGCCAGAUUCUGGCACCCAAAACAGGUUUUGGGUCGCCAGAACUUGAGUGCUGGUUUGAGCAGAACUGGAAGCCAAUUCGGAUCCUAAUUUCGGGCGCCCAAAAGUGGGUCCGAAAAUUUACCUCGUGAAUAUCAUUUGCGCUGACACGUGGCUGGUGGUAGGUAAGGUCCGCCGAACCAGGAUAUAGGCGCAGCACACCGCGCGAAGAGGAGCAAUUGUGUAGCCUGGAGGUUUCGGACGCCCAGAAAGGGAUUCUGGGCGCCCGAAAAUGAUCGUUUCUGCUCGGACAGCAGGUUAGUGUCCUUUAUUCCUGGGGCUUAUUGGACCAUUCUAACUCCCUGUAAAUAUGUGGAGUACGACCCCUGUGAGCUCUUUUCACCUCUUCUUCACAGUGAAGGCCAGAAUUGCAUUCCAACCCCUCUAAUUACUCCAAAUUCCACAAAUUGAAGCUUAAGGACUGCAGUUUAGCAUAAUUCCAGCAGCGACCUUCGGCGUUUUGGCUCGUGUGCGACGUAGGAAGGUCGGAUUGCUGUAAAACUUGGUUUGGUGGUUAACUGACUUUUGGGAGAUUCCGUGGAGUCCAUUUUUACUGCAUUUGGUUGAGGUUAGUUUGGUCUAAUUACUAUUCUUCUAGACCGCUGCAGUUUUGGACCUGAAUUUGAGCUUUCUUUGGUUAUUAUAGACCAAUUCUUGGAGAGAGCUAGAAUUUCGACCAAAGGAAGUUGCUCCACCUUUCCCUACUGGUUUUAGAGGGUGUUCAUUAGCUAAAUUUUGGAUUUGGAGGUUGAUAGGUGAGUUUUAGCAUUGAAAUUGAAAGAUUAAGCUUAAGUGCUGAAUUUUGGGGUUAUUGAUGCCAUUUUAAUGUUUUUGUGUUUAGAUCUUCGGAGUAAGAUGGAUUUGAACCAGAGGAUGUUAUUCCAUCAUAGUACAUUGCUUUUGGGAUCUUUUCUCACCUGAAUUGGAGAUUGGAAGGUGAAAUUUGCAUUGGAAUUGAGCAAAAUUUAAGCUUGUGGGCUGAUUUGCAUAAGAUUGAUAGAAUUUUGAUAUUUUUGGUGUUUAGAGCCUUGGAGAAGUAUUGUUGCUGGUUGUGGGUGAUUUCGGCUGAAGCUCCCAGCAACUUCGUGACCUUCUCGCUGCCGUGGACUGAGCGCUAGAGGUGGGUUAAUCAUCGGAUUCUCCUCCUAAGUGUAUGCGCAGUCGACAUGUAUAUUUUCAGCAUUUGUAUAUCUUGUUUUAGCUCGAAUUCAUCGAAUAGCAUGUUAAAUAAAAUCUGAAUUUGGAGCAUGCUGUAGUGAGUUAGAUAAAUGAUACAUGUUGGACUUGGAAUUGACUUAGGAGAAACCGGCGAUUCUACACUGUCAUAUGUUGAAACUACCGGAUUUAGCUCUAGGAGCCGUAGUUUAUUUGUAUCCCUGCAGUUUGUGGGUGGCGAAUAUCCAGGAUAGUGUAGAAUGUAUUCACGCUUGUGCUGAGAUGCUGAGCUUAUUUUUACAGCAGUGUUUAGACUGUUCCGGACUGUCGGGUGCCAUCGGGGUUGACGGUGGACCUAGAUUACUGUUUUUGCAUCAGAUUGUGCCGAGAGCACGUGAGUUGGAUUCUUAGACCCUGUUUACUUGACUAUAGCCUGUGAGAGCCUGAUUGAGCUCUACAGAGACAUACUUGCAUACUCGGUUGGGUAGCGCCUACGAGUGCCACUCCGGAGUCAGGCUAUGUGCGUUUGUGUUGGUGUCGAUUUGUCAUGGUUGGACUUGCUCUCCACAGACGGUUUAGUGUGAAGGUAGCUGUAUAGCUUCAAAAGGCGGGACGGGUCUAUUCACAGUCCCUGGGACGGGUGUGUUCACAGUCCCUAAUGAGAUUGGGUCAAAGAUCGUAUUAUUCUACAGAUAGUGGUGUCGGAUCAUGAUAGUAUAGUGGCACAUAGUUAUAGAUUAUUUUCAGUUAUUUACUAUCAUUGAGCAUAUCAUCUGUAGACUUAGUGGGUGAGCCGAUGAGUUGAAGGCGGUACCCACUGAGGACUACUUAUUUUUGCAGUAGUUCUCACGCCCAUCUGUUACCCCUCUUUUGCAGAGCCUUCGGUUCCGGCUGCUGCUACUACCGAGACUGAUCGUGUGUAAUGCACUGGACCUUUGCAAAUUGCGAGGUUCGAGUGUUCGAUUUGUGUUCCGAGAUUUUCCACACUUUCUGGAGGGUCGUAGACAGUGUCCGACCUAUGGCUCGCAUCCUGAGAAACAAGGUUUUAAACUUAGCGCUAAGGUCUCCAAAGAGAAGGACUUAGGCUGUUCUCGAGUUGGUUUCUGCUCAGUGUGGUACCGGUACAGCAUUGAGUUUGUACCGGAAUGAGGGGUGGUACCGUUACAACAUCGGGUUUGUACCGGUAUCAGGCGUCAUUUUCUGCCAACCCGAGGCUCGGGUUUGUGUGCACAGUGUUUGGUACCGGUACUCUUUAUCGUGUAUCGGUACGCAGUGCAGACUGCAGUCUGCUUGUUUUUUAGGGGUGUUUUUGAUAUUGUAGCCUUAUUACAUAUAUCCCCCAUGCCCCAUGGAGGUUCUCUGAGCUGAGACCAGAGGAGAGAAAGGUAGGGAAGCCCUCCUCUUUCUCUCUUUGAUUCUCCUUCAUUUUAGUUGGAAUUUUUGAAGUUUAAUCACUUCUUUUGGUCUCUUUUUGCUUCUUGGUGCUUUUGCCUCCAUGGGAGAAGGCUCGGAGCUCAAUUUGAGGCUUGUUGGAGGAGAGAUUUUCAACCUUAGUUGAUUCCUAGCCUUGUUUGGAGCUUUUCUUGAGGUUAGUACCUUGUUUUCCCCUUUUGAUCCAUGUUUUGAUGGAUUUGCUUGAUGAAACCCUAGAAUGUGAGAUUUAGGAUUUAUUUUGGGGAUUUUUGAUUAGAGGCUUUUGGAACUUAAUUGAUAGGUGUAGAAUCUUCAUUUGGGUUGGAUUAGAGGGGUUCUAACUCUCAUCUGGAGAUUGAGAGAGAUUUCCACCGUUCAAGGUGAGUUUUUGCCUUUUUCUCGAGACGGUUAAUGUUUGAACUUAGGGGUGUUCAUUCGACGCGUUUAACUCUCUUAGUUUUACCUUUAGGGAGCUAGGAGUCUAGUGGACAUCUUCUUUUGCGCGAACGAAGGGUUCCAAGGAGCUCUUGGUGGGUUUGGCCUCACCGAAAUGAGAUAAAUUCCACCUAUGAUGGUUUUACUUGUCGUAAAAUGAAACUUCAUGCACAUUCAUGCUAGAUAGAAUAUUUAUGAAUUUUAGAAUACUUAAAAGGCAUAUGUCAUGUAUCAUGAGUUUUGAUCUCUAUGUAGUAGAGGAUUAUGUGCAUAGUACUCAUGUUAGUAUAUGGUAGUCUCAUGAUAUGUUGAAACUAUGUUAUUGGUAGUUAAAUGACAAGCAUUUACUUAUUACGAAUGAUGGACAUAUGCUAGGUAUAGUAGAAAACCCAAUGUCAUAAAGUGGCAUUAGACUUGGAAUAUAUGUAUAUGGACUUGGAAUAUAAUAUGCUUGGACAUAGUAAAACAUAACGUCAUGAAGUGGCAUUAGUCUUAGAGUAUGAUUGGACAUAGUAAGUCAUAAUGUCAUAAAGGGAUAUUGGACUUAAUGAAUGGUUAAACCUUCACAUUGAGGCAUAGAACUAGACCUUGGAUUGCUAGUGAUUAUUACCAUGUCAGAGACAUGAUGACCGGGUUCUUGAGAUGACGACUAUGCUUGCUUCCCAUUUGUGCUCAUUCGUACAUGCUUGUGAGGGUCACUCCCUAUAAGCUGGCACUCCGGAGUUAGCCUACGCGACAUAUGCUCGCUUGUGCGAUAUUGAGAAAUCUACGGGGCCGGAUGGGAUAGACUCAUUCCUAGAGUAGGAAUGUUGGGGCUAUCAUGGGCACUUAGGCGGCACAAGCCGGACUAUGUUGGGUAGGUCCUUAAUUAGAAAUGGAAAUGGACAUUAAAUCAUAAUGUGACAAUUACUAUUAGAUAGUUUAUAGUAGUUGGACAUCUUGAACAUGCUUGUGGCAUAGUAUUGGACAUGUAGUAUUCUUGAUAGUGUUGCUUGUUGCAUUAUAGUAUACUCAUUUGACAUGUUAGAGCAUACUAGCAUAAUCAUGUGAUGUACUCCUUUAUGUUAGGCUAGCUAUUGCAAUUAUGGAACUGCAUGUUAAGUAGUGGCAUAGUAGCUAGCAAGUUUAAAUCAUGUUUAAGAUUCAUGCUAUUUCUUCCAAUUAAAUGUUAGAAUUAUCUACUUUUGCUUUUGGGCCUAGUGGUGCAUUUUGCUAAGGUCAGUAAUUACCCACUGGGAACUAUUAAUUAUAGUUCUCACGCCCACUUGUUCGAUGUUUUCUUACAGAGCCUUCCACCCCGGGAGAGACUCGGGAUCGUAGGAAAGGGAUCGCCUCGAGCUAGUUAGCGAGGGAUUUUGCGAUAGGUGGUUCACCUCUCUUUUAUUUUUUUAUUUUGGAGAGGUUGAGAGACUUGUACCAUUUUGUAGAGACCACCUUUUUUUUGUAUCUAGAGCUAUGUAUGGAUCAAGUGAUGUUCUUACUUUUGGGUUGUUAGUUAUUUGGUUCUUUUACUUAUCCGCUUGUUCUUUAGAAUUUAGUUAUGCUCUUGCUCUGAUAUCUCUAGAUCUUUUAUUUACGUGCUUUCAUACUCUAUUGUCGUUAGACGCCUUAUAUGUGUGGGCAUAUGGCGGGUCUGGACACGCACCGGGCGGACCUCUGCCGAGUCCCGGGCCAUGACAAUGUGGUAAGGGCGUUGCAAGUUAGAGCCCUUCCAGACGAGUCACUGAGCUAGAGGAGUACCAGCUACAGGUAGUUGUAGUUUUUGGUUCUUUACAUACUGAUAUUGUAUCUCGCUGGAGCGAGUAUUUUUAUACCCGGAUGCUAUGUAUGUAUUGAACCACUGUUAUUAUAUAUAUGUUUUAUUCCUUUCUAUCAGCUCUAUACUGCUGGUUGUAGUGUUAUUUGAUUACAGGUUCUUGUACAGCUUCGCUUCGUAUACAAGAAAAAUUUCUAUGUAUACGGCAGGUCUAUUAGCGUGCCCAGGAAAACGAGGAAUCCGGGGCAUGACACAUGUUAUGGUGAUUCAUACUUAUUUAUGAUAUUAGAAUUAUAUAAUUCAAUGAGAUAUGGAUUAGAAGUAGGUUUUGGUACUUUUGAAUUAAUUAUAAAAGUUUUUGAUAGUAAGUACCGGUACCUAUUUUCGGUUCCUCAAAACAGUAUUUGAAAAACUAAGUUUCAAAACAGAGUACCGGUACCUCAACUUGGUACCUCAAACCCGAGAGAUGCAAUUCUGACAAUUGCAUUGAGUACCGAUACUGCAUUGGCCGGGUACCGGUACUGCGGGAGCGUUCCGGUACUGCAUCGGCCUGGUACCAGUACUCAGCCUAAGAAAUUUUCUGUUCCAUCAUGCAAUACUGGUACCAACUUACUUAAUACCAGUACCCAAUGUAAAAUUCCUAAUAAUACUUUUAGUCCAACUCUAAUUGAUUCUAAAGUCUAUAAAUAAGCUAUUGAGGUUCUCUAAUUCAUAGAGAUGCACGAGAAUUCAUGUAUGAGUAACCCUAGAGGCUAGGUUUUCGUUCUAAACCUAUUUUCCAUAAAUUAGCCUCUUUUAGGUCAAUUCUAGGUAUUGUAAUUUGAUCUCUAUAUGUCGAAUUGAUCUAUGUUUCGCUUAGAGAUUCUUUUCUAGUUCUUCAUCAAUACUCUAAGCGAAGGAUCACCAUAAUCAUGAUGUUCUUCAUAUGCGGCGUCAUGGAUUCGGCGUGAUUGAAGGUGAUUCGUGGAUUCGAAUCGUGAGCUCGUGGAUUCGAGUGGCGUCCGUGGAUUCGGACGUGUGCGCAGCGUUUGAGGAUUCAAACGUGAGGGCGUGGACAACCCGGAAGAUUGCGCGAGAUUCAUAGGAGGUUAAGAGAGGUCGAGUCCGUGGAGUCAGUAAUUACCUUGUAAUAUUUUCUCUUAGUGAAUUAUUUUUUCACGUGUUGGUCCCGUGGGUUUUUCUCCAAAUUGGAGUUUCCCACGUAAAUCUCGGUGUGCUAUUUUUAUUUUCCGUAUUUAUUUUUUAUUGCAUUAAGUUUUGUGUUUUUGGGCAAUACACCUAUUCACCCCCCUCUAGGUGUUUGAUAGUAUCUAGAUAGAUCCUAGGGUUUCCGUAACCUACAAUUAGUAUCAGAACGGGAUGUAGAUUUUUUAACUAUCAUAAUGGCCGAGGGCAGUAACAUUAAUCGACCACCACUCUUCGAUGGCAUAAACUAUGCCUAUUGGAAAGUUCGCAUAAGAGUUUUUCCUAUUGCUAUCGACGAGAGGGUAUGGCAAUCAAUUGAAUUCGGAUGGAAGCAUCCCACCAAAGUUGUCGAUAAUGCUACCGUCCCUAAACCUAGAAAUAAAUGGACGAAAAACGAAAAUGAGUCAUCUUCGUUCAAUGGAAAGAGAAUAAAUGCUUUAUUUAAUGCUUUGUCACAAACGGAAUUUACUCGUAUUUCGGUGUAUGAAACUGCCAAAGAGAUUUGGGAUACUCUACAAGUUACACAUGAGAGUACAAGUCUAGUAAAAGUACAAAAGUUUCAAAUGUUCACAAGUCAAUUUGAUAUUAUUCGAAUGGAAGAGCAUGAAUCUUUUACUGAUUAUUAUACUAGACUUCAAGAUAUAAUCAAUGCAUGUGCUAAAUUAGGAGAGAAGAUCCCAUAAUCUAAAAUUGUUAGAAAAAUUCUGCGAACUCUUCUGGAGCGCUUUAGGGUAAAGGUUACCACGAUCGAAACCGUUAAGCAUCCGGAUGAGAUAAAAGUAGAAGAGUACUAUGUAGGUGCUUUACAAAUAUAUGAAAUGACUUUUCCUACUAAUCAAUCUUCUUCCAAGUCUUUCUCUAAAAGUACAUGGGUUGCAUUGAAAUCGACAAAGGAGGAAGACAUGGACUCGGAUUUCGAUGGAGACAUCUCAAUUGCGGACUUUGAACAUCAAUUGGCGCUCUUAACGAAGAAGUUUCGUCGGAACUUCCGGAAGAAGAAUGCGAACAAAGCUUCAUCUUCGAAGCAAAAACUGUUUUCAAAAGGAUCUUCAAGUUCAAAAUCGAAAGAAAUGAAACUUGCAAAACCUUCUAAAAAAAGGGAUAAUUUUGAAGGGGAAAUCCAAUGUUACAAAUGUAAAGGCUACGACCAUGUUUCCACAGAUUGUCCCUCUAAGAAAUCCUACAAAUCGAAGCUUUUGGGAGUUCAUAACGUAUUUCAUGCAUCCAAUCUCCGCAAGUAUAUCCAUAACUCCUCUUAUGUUUUGAAGUAUGAACUGGUGGAGUUGCACGAGGAUGUGACUUAUGGAGAGUUUUCGGUGUGCAUCCUUGCUCGGGAAGUGAAGAAAUUACGGAACCGUACAAUUUCGUAUGUAAAAGUCCAGUAGAGCAAUCAUGCGAGGUGUAAAGACACUUGGGACCUCGAGGAGGCAAUGCGUGAGAUCUAUCCUCAUCUAUUUGAGUAGAUGAGUUAAGGCAUGGGCUUAAGUUUCGCUAACGAAACUAUUUUUAAGGGGUGGGGAAUGUAACAUACCGAAUCCCCGACGAGUUGUACCGAACUUCCGUCAAAUUGACCGAAGUGUGGUAGCGGACAAGAUGUGAGGUCCAUUAAUUAUUCCGAGUGCUUCGGAAUACAUUACAUGAGUGUUUGGGACCUUGGAGAGCAAACUGGAAAAUUCCAAGCUCUUUUUGUGCUAGAAAUGCUCUUGGGGUCCGGACCCUGAGUGCAAAGUUCGGACCCCGUACGCGUGAAAUGCUGGGGUUGGUCAAACUCUGUUGGUUGAGGGGGCUUGGUGUAAUUGUGUAUAUGGGGAUGUUAUUUGAGGGUGCUAAGUUGUUUUCCCCUUUCAUUUUCUCCUCAUACCACCAACAUGAGGAAAGCUCUUUCUCUCUCUAAAACUCUCUACUCUCUCCCUUUCUCUCCUUCUCUCACUAGGGUUUGCUCCAAGAGAGGAGAUUGGUGGAGAAGAAGCUUGCUUAGGGGUGAAGCUAGCUCUUGUGCAAGGGGUUGAGGAGAAAGCUAGAACUUGAGGUGAGUUAUUGUGGUUGUAAGCUAAGGUUUUGGUUAAUCUCCUUCUAGUUGUGAUUUCUAGAAGAUAUUAUGGUAGAUCAACUCAUGAAUCCCUAAGAAUUGUGGGUAUUUGGUAAUGAUGGAAACCUUAGGGUCGAGUUUAGGGCUUUUGUGGAAUUGAGGUCUAACUUAGGUUUGAUCUCUUGUAGCCCUAAUUGGUGGAUAAACUGACGCGUUCGGAGACUCGGAUUGGAAUUCCGACAAGCCUACGUUGAGAUGUUAGGGAAAAAUCCCAUUUCGGCUUCAUUUGCCGAGGGUCGAGGGAAAUAGGCGACCAUAAAUUGCGAGACUUGAGUUGUAGCCUUUCGGCAUCCCUACGAGGUGGGUGAUGCUAUCCGAAAUCAUCGAAUUUCUCAUUAUGUCUAUAUCGCCUUUUUGAGAAUAUAUGUGUACUUGUGGCAUUCAUGCAUGAUAGGGUUAUUUGGAUAUGUGGCUAUGGUUGGGAAUCUCUUGUAUGCUUUCAAUGUAAAAGAACAUAUGAAUUGAUAUUGGACCAUGCAUAUCGAAACCCUAUAAAUGUAUGAAUUGGAUGUUGGACUAUGACAUUAGUAAACAAAGGUGACAUUCACACUAGCCGGUAUGAUUAGCACCUGAAAAUGUGGUAUGCUAGACAAGGUACGUAGAACCUUAUGAGCAUUGUGGCAACAGUGGCCAAAGAUGAGGAUUGGAUUAUACUCACAGUUGGUCUAUAUGCUUGAGUGUGGUCGCUCCACCUCGAGCGGUGAGCUCCGGAGUGGUCACCAACUGGGUUGUAGUGGAAUUCUCCCCAGUAGACGGUCCCGUCGGGUUGUAGCAAAAUUCCCCCCGAUAGAAAGGGAUUUGGUUGGUGAGUUGAGGUUAACCAUGAGUUAACCAAGAGGAUUGGGUAAUGGCAAAGGUAAAAGUGAAAUGCAUGCAUCAUGAUCAUAUUACUUGUUGAUUCAGUUCUUGUACAAGCAUUGUAGUAGCAUUAGUUUGGUUUGCUAUCUAUCUAUUCUUUUCCUACAUAUGCUUGAGUAGACCUAGUGGGCGAGUCGGUGGGAUCGACGGCUGAACCCACUAGGAACUUUCAUUAGUUCUCACACCACUAACCUUGCAGAUCCUAGCGCGAGCAGGGCAGUCGAGGAUCGCGGCAAAGGCAUCGCGCCCUAGAUAGCGGCUUCCUGGGUUUAGUUUGUACCCUAUUUACUAUCAUCUUUUGUUUAUGAUGAGAAAGUGGUUAUAUAUAAAUGAUGUAAAUUCAUAUGUUUUGGUGAAAGACAUGCGAUGAAAUUGUGAAAAAGAAUGUAAAAUGUGGAAAGCUUGUAUUUGGUUAAAUGUAAUCAAGAUACAUGUAUAAAUGGAAUAGUAGUAGUACUUUCACUUGUUGUGGUUGUUGCUUGCCCUCGUGCAAGCCGUGUAUACUCGAAUUUCAUCUUUGUUUGAUUUGCUAUGCAUGUUGGUGGAGCUUUGGGCGGACAGAGGAGGUUCUGUCCGUUCGGCAUCUGUAGACGCACCCGAACCGACCAAAUUGGCGGUUGCGGGGCGUGACAAUACUAUAUCCCCCUUUUUAUUCUUAGUUUUUUGUUAAUAUUUUAGUAUUAUUAUCAUUGAGUUAAUUAUUAUGACUAAGUUAAUCGUUAGCUUCAACCGCAGAACACAUUAUGGCUUAGGAUUGGGACCUACGCUAAGAACAUAUUAUGGCGUGAAACAAAUAAAUUCGUUUGCUAUGAUCGAAUUAAGUGGGAGCCAAUCAGAGGAGGUAGAAAAGCUAAAGGGGGAAGUAGAACGUAUGAAAAACAAAAUGGAUGAAGUUUUCAAUUCUACCUUUAGAGAGAUGCAAGAGGAAAUGGAUCGCCUAAAGACACUAGUAUCAAACACUCAGGUAUACCAAUUUGAUAGCAAGUUAUUACUAGUAAUAUACUUAAAUAUUUUUGUACUUUUGUGUAAUUAACAAAUUUUAUAUUGUUUGAUAGGUUGCGGGUGGCAAUAUUAACCUAGUUGAUGCAUUCUCUCCCAACCAUCGAUCAUCGAAUGCAAGUCAUGAACCUACAAGUGAAGGAAACCAUCGAAUCAUUUAAAUUUUUGUAAACUAAAAAACUCAACUGUUGACCAUCUUUAAAGCUGUUUAAACUUUUUGUUACAUAGUGUCUUGUUAUGUACUAUUGAAUAUAUAUUGAAUGCAUGAGAUUGUGUUUUGGAUCUUAUGAUAAAAAAUUGGUAUGCUUGUUGUUGAGAAUUGUGUUAAUUCUUAUGUUAUUAGUAUAUCUUUUGAUUAAAUGUUAAAUUACAUUUUUUGUUGUUUGAUGAGAAAUAUAAUUUUCUUUUUAUGUAUACAAAUUAAAAUAAAUAUUAAUAUAAUAUUUUACUAUUGUUAUUGUGAUAGAGGCGGUUGGAACCGCC
rnacentral:lncRNA from 1 species